GGGAGACCCCAAAAACCCGUCACUGCCACGGGGGGGGGAGACCCCAAAAAUUGGGGGGGAACCCCAAAAAUUGGGACUUCAAAAAAUUGAGAGGGGCCCAAAAUUGGGACCCCAAAAAUUAGGAGAGACCCCAAAAAUUGGGGGGGACCCCAAAAAAUGGGACCUCAAAAAAUGGGGACCCCAAAAAUUGGGAGAGAUUCCAAAAUUUGGGACCCCAAAAAAUGGGGGGGACCCCAAAAAUUUGGACCCCAAAAAUUAGGAGAGACCCCGAAAAUUAGGGGGGGGACCCCAAAAAAUGGGAACCCAAAAUCUGGGAGAGACCCCAAAAAUUAGGGGGGACCUCAAAAAAGGGAGAGACCCCAAAAAUUGGGACCCCAAAAAUUAGGAGAGACCCCGAAAAUUGGGGGGGGGACCCCAAAAUCUGGGAGAGACCCCAAAAAUUAGGGGGGGACCCCAAAAGUGGGAGGGAACCCCAAAAAUUGUUGAGGGACCCCAAAAUUGGGGGAGUCUGAAAUUUGGGGGGGUCCCUGAAAUUGGAGGGACCUCAAAAAUCGGGGGGAACCCCAAAAAUUGGGACCCUAAAAUUGGGGUGGUUGGAAAUUUGGGGUGACCCCAAAAAUUGGGGGGGACCCAGAGAGGGAAAAGAGCCCGAAAUUGGGGGGGACCCCAAAAGUGGAGGGAGCCCAAAAAUGGAGGGGGAGCCCAAAAUUGGGGAGGGGUCUGAAAUUUGGGGAAGUCCCUGAAAAUGAGGGGGGGGACCCCAAAAAAUUUGGAGUCCCAAAGUGGGAGGGACCCCAAAAAUGGAGAGAGACCCCCAAAAUGAGGGAGACCUCAAAAAUGGGAGGGGGUUCUCAAAUUUGGGGGGGACCCCAAAAUUGGGACCCCAAAAUUGAGGGAUCCCAAAAGUUGAUGGGUCCCCAAAAUUGGGGGGAUCCCAAAAAUUUGGGGGGACCCCAAAAAUCGGGGGGGACCCAGAGAGGGAAAAGAGCCUGAAAUUGGGGGGGGGGAACCCCAAAAAAUUGGGGGGAGGGACCCCAAAAGUGGGAGGGUCCCCAAAAUUGGGACCCCAAAAGGGAUUGAGGGGGACACCCCGAAAAGGGAGGGGGGACCCCAAAAAUUAAGGGGACCU
rnacentral:lncRNA from 1 species